rnacentral:lncRNA from 1 species
CUCUAGCAGUGGGAGGACUUGGGGGGAAUCUAGAACUCUAGCAGUGGGAGGACUUGGGGGGAAUCUAGAACUCUAGCAGUGGGAGGACUUGGGAGGAAUCUAGAACUCUAGCAGUGGGAGGACUUGGGAGGAAUCUAGAACUCUAGCAGUGGGAGGACUUGGGGGAAUCUAGAACGCUAGCAGUGGGAGGACUUGGGGGGAAUCUAGAACUCUAGCAGUGGGAGGACUUGGGGGGAAUCUAGAACUCUAGCAGUGGGAGGACUUGGGGGGAAUCUAGAACUCUAGCAGUGGGAGGACUUGGGGGGAAUCUAGAACUCUAGCAGUGGGAGGACUUGGGGGUAAUCUAGAACUCUAGCACAGUGGGAGGACUUGGGGGUAAUCUAGAAUGGGUGGCUAUUGUCAUUUCUUUCUCACAUACAGAUUUGAUGUUCCAAUCAGAGAGUCAAACACCUUUCUAUCCCUUUUAUAUUUAGCGGUUUGUGUCUCAUUCCAUGUUUUUAAUUUAUUUAUAGGUCAUUCAUUCACUCUAACAACUAGGGUUGCAAAAUUCUGGUUAAUUUCCUGGUUGGAGUUCUGGGAGAACUUGGGAAAGUUAGCAUCAUUCUGAAACCUUAUUAAGUACAGUGUUCUGUCUAUAGAUGAACAGUCAGUGAGGUGUUUCUGACACACAACAAUCACCAUUAUAGCUUGACCAGGGUCUGUGUGCAACACUGCCACUGUAAGUACAAUAACUGUAAGGUGCAGUAUGUACGAGAAUUCAAACAGUCCGAGAUGUUCACUAUAGUUUUGCCUUAGGUCAUGUGAUCAGGGCUUAUAGAACAGAGGUCCACAGCUCAGGUUUUCAUUUGUCCCUGGCACUACAUUGAUUAAGUAAUAUCAUUGAUUGGAUAGUGCACACACACACCUGGUGGCCCAGGUCAAAAUUAGUCUGUGAUUUAAAGUUAGACUCUGUGAAAUGAUGUUGCCAUGAGCAACAACGUAAGAUACUAAGAUGAGCGAGAUGCAACACUUCUCUCUCACACAGUCACACACAGUAUCUGUGCAUGUACACGUGUUCACUACAGAGUGGUAGCCAGGGCACCAAAACAGUAGACAAGUUGAGCUUCGUGCUUCAACGCUCUUAGUUGUGGAAAUUGACCCACUGUGCUGUUUACUGUCUACAUCUACGCCAUAUCGCUGAGGCCACCUUUAAAAGGUUAGUAAGUAAAGCAGCAAACACUGCAGAUUCCCCCAGGACCACAGCUGUGUACCCCUGGUUUAGAGAAAUAUCAUGUGUCCCAAAUCAACCCCGAGCCCCUAUUCCUACAUCCUACCCUUUGGGCACUAUUGCAGAACUGAGAGGAUUGGAUGGGUAUCAGCAAUAUAAUAAUGAAACUCUUAUAGUGCUGUUAUUACAUAAAGAAUCUCAAAGUGCUUUAAAGCAACACACAAAAAGACUAGCGAUUUAGAAAAAUACAUCGUUCAUCAGAUGGAAGUUCAUGAGAGGGUCGGGAAGUUCAUGGCUUGAGUGGUCAUCGGAGGGAGGCUGUCAGAGGGGAAGGGUGAGGAUGGUCAUCGGAGGGAGGCUGUCAGAGGGGAAGGCUGAGGAUGGUCUGGAGCAAGUCCAGGGUCAGACGGGCAGCACGGUGUCAUCAAGGUGGCUCACAACUCCACCUAUCCUAUCAGAGGGCACAGUGGAGCUGUUACCAUAUGGCUUGUACCUAACCAAUCCUUUCCUAUCUAGAGUAGGGGUCAAGGUUUUUGGUUUAGGAUUGGGCCUACUCUGUUUAGUGCUCCCAUUCUUCGCCUACGUCCCAAUUCUCUUCCUUGCUCACAUAGUGUCCACUUGGCUUGCACACUCCCUGUCGUAGAUUUAAAAGCAUGGGAUUGGUAUAAGCAUUGGCUGGAGGGAGGAGGGAAGUUUCCAGCAUUGCUAAGUCCAUGCAUAAAAAAGUGUGCAAGUCCACAUUUCAGGAGAGGAAAAAGGGUGGUGAUUUGGGUCGUGGCCUUCAAGCUCUCAUUGACGUUUGACAAGGCCUGCGGGAUGCAUCCCAAAUGGAACCUUUUUCCUUUUAUAGUGCACUACUUUAGAGCCCUGGUCAGGAAUAGGGUGUCUGUUUAGGGAAGAGGAAGAGGUCUAUGUAGGGAAUAGGGUGGCCAGAGGACCAUUUUAUUAUGAUGAUGAUUAUGACUGUACAAGGUUUGCUUUACUGUUUGUGCUCAGUUAUAAUCCUUUUGGUUUAGGUUGUCCUAAUGGCAGGUCAAGCAAUAAAACAAAUACAUUCUUACAAAGUGUGUCACCUGUGGUUAUUGAUGAUUUGUUUGAGGUGUCUCUCUCUCUCUCUGUGUAUGUCCAUUCUGAUGCCCUUCAUCACCAUAACUCUGCACAUACUCACUACAGAGGAACCCACUGGACACAUGGCAUAUGUCCCAAAUGGCCC